AGCCAAAUUGCGGGGGCGGCAAAUGGAGAGGGACACAUGAGCACUCCUACUUCCCCCAAACGACCACGAUAAAUGGAAUCGCUAGGAGUUGGUGAGGUAUGCAUUAAAUUCGUGAAAGGAACCGCUCUAUACCUCGAAAGGAACUACUACUACUAUGCUCGCCGGUUGCAGAAGAAAAGGGACGACUCUGUUCUGCAUAUAAUGCCGCUCUGAUAGAACAGGAGUCAGUUCAUCAUUUCUCGAGUUUCCUCUGAGACUUGGCAACAUGGAGGGCGCACCGUCUCCUCAGGAGAUGUCAUACUAUGAUCAUGUCAGAAGCGUCGCGAGGAAAAAGGCUGUCUAUACGCAUGUUUCUUCACGCUGUGCUGCUGCUUUUGCUGCUAUGAGAGUUGCGAAUGCUGCUUGGAGACCAUCUGCUGUUGCUGCUAGUUUAAUCGAGAAUUGUUCCUUAAUUAUGGAAAGACAAUAAUGUUUGAAGACCAUAUGUCUUCUUUGUGCAGUAGUUUGGAUAUUUUAUUAUCCAAUAAUUGUCAUGUAAAUGGGUUAAUCAAGAAUUGUUCCAUAAUUAUGGAAAGACAAUAAUGUUUGAAGACCAUAUGUCUUCUUUGUGCAGUAGUUUGGAUAUUUUAUCAUCCAAUAAUUGUCAUGUAAAUGGGUUUAUCAAAUUGAAGUAUGUGUGAUAUUCAAUGUCUGUAAUAACAUGAACGUAUUUGUUUGAUAUUCCUCCCAGAGA